rnacentral:rRNA from 1 species
GAUGAACGCUGACAGAAUGCUUAACACAUGCAAGUCAACUUGAACUUCGGUUUGGGUGGCGGACGGGUGAGUAACGCGUAAAGAACUUGCCUCACAGAUAGGGACAACAUUUGGAAACGAAUGCUAAUACCUGAUAUUAUGAUUAUAUGGCAUCGUAUAAUUAUGAAAGCUAUAUGCGCUGUGAGAGAGCUUUGCGUCCCAUUAGCUAGUUGGAGAGGUAACGGCUCACCAAGGCGAUGAUGGGUAGCCGGCCUGAGGGUGAUCGGCCACAAGGGGACUGAGACACGGCCCUUACUCCUACGGGAGGCAGCAGUGGGGAAUAUUGGACAAUGGACCAAGAGUCUGAUCCAGCAAUUCUGUGUGCACGAUGAAGUUUUUCGGAAUGUAAAGUGCUUUCAGUUGGGAAGAAAAAAAUGACGGUACCAACAGAAGAAGUGACGGCUAAAUACGUG